GAUCCUGGCUCAGGAUGAACGCUAGCUACAGGCUUAACACAUGCAAGUCGAGGGCAGCAUGUCGGUUGCUUGCAACCGACGAUGGCGACCGGCGCACGGGUGAGUAACGCGUAUCCAACCUACCCUUGUCCAUCGGAUAACCCGUCGAAAGGCGGCCUAACACGAUAUGCGGUUCUCAGCAGGCAUCUAACGAGAACGAAAUGUGAAGGAGAAGGAUGGGGAUGCGUCUGAUUAGCUUGUUGGCGGGGUAACGGCCCACCAAGGCAACGAUCAGUAGGGGUUCUGAGAGGAAGGUCCCCCACAUUGGAACUGAGACACGGUCCAAACUCCUACGGGAGGCAGCAGUGAGGAAUAUUGGUCAAUGGACGAGAGUCUGAACCAGCCAAGUAGCGUGCAGGAUGACGGCCCUAUGGGUUGUAAACUGCUUUUAUAAGGGAAUAAAGUGAGCCUCGUGAGGCUUUUUGCAUGUACCUUAUGAAUAAGGACCGGCUAAUUCCGUG
rnacentral:rRNA from 1 species